CUUGGCGCUUUUCGAGGCUUUCUCCGGCUACACUCUCUCACAAGCCCCUGAAUCACUCGCAAAGCGCCAUCAUUCAUGAAUUCCAGACAGUAACUGCUUUCUGGCUUCUGUACCUUGGGUGCUGCCCUUCUCUUCCUGGAACACCUUCCUUGCCUCUCUACCUAGCCAUCUUCGAGUCCUGCUCAAAAGCCAAAGACUGCCGGGCGUGAUGGCGCAUGCCUGUAAUUCCAGCACUCAGGAGGCUGAGGCAGAAAGAUCCCCGUGACUUUGAGGCCAGUGUGGGCCUCAUGGUGAAUUCAUGGCCAGCCUGAACUACCGUGCAAGACCCUGUCUCCAAAAACAAGAAACAAAAAAACCCCUCAAAGACCACCUCCUCCAGGAAGCCAGGAGGGCACAGGGCCGUGAUUUCAUCUCUAUAACCCCGACUUAUGGAAGGAGAAUGCUGAUGGUUGCUGAUGGCAGGACACUUCCAGAACUAGAAGCAUUGUGAAUAGAAAGGAAGCAUCUGCACCCUUCCUGAGGUCCUCGUGGCAUGCCUGAGUGUCGCCUGGGCAGAAGGCGCUGGCCCCCAUCCUGCCCCUCUGGUCUCUCCUCACCAACACCUCUGCUGAGCCAUUUGUCACCGGACUAGCAGGGAAGUCCCUUGUGCCUCCUGUCCUCUUCGGCUUCUCCCUCUUCCCAGAACCCAGAGACCAGGGGCUCCAGGGAGCGAGAUCCUGUGCUCACAGGAGACACGCUUGGCACCAUCCUCUCGCCUGUCACUCUGCUCUGUUACACAUCCCACGACCUGGACCCAUGCUGGACCUAGGUGUGAGUGGCCUGCUUUAACCUGCCCCCAGCCCCACCCGGCUCUCUUCUUCCAGGAGGGCCAGGCAAGUCCACCCUCCCCUUGGCUGUGAGAGCUUCCCAGGGCAGCCAGGGCAGGGGAGCGGGCUUCUCCCAGCCUCUGCAGCCCCAUCUCUGGUCUCUGGGCCCUGUGCCUGCCCCCUGGGCUCUGCAUUCAUCCCCUGGGGCCACCAGCCACAAGCCCAGUCUCACCUCACACACCCUCGGGCCAGCUGUGGUGAGAAACCCUUGUGCAGACUCUGGGACUGGAGCACCAUCCAAGAGAAAGGAGGACGGGGUUCCUGGGCCCCAGAGGCAGCAAACAAAGGCUCAGCCCGGCUGGAAAGGGAGCACGGCUCUCCAGGCACCCAUCAUGCCAAAGCCAGAAGCACCAGGAGCUCUGUGCUAGGGAAACCAGAAUUUCCACCUCCAGUUGUGACAGAUCCUGGCUUGGGCGGAAGUUGGUGGUUUGGGAGGGAAAAGGCUGACCUGCCUGGCGGCAGACACACCUCUCCCUCGCUCCUCUUGCUUCAGACUGCACAGUUUAAAAGGUCUUUCUGGGCUGCUCAGCCACACUCUGCCUCUCUGCCACACUGCAUCCGGUCUGUCCAGCCUGGCUGUGGUUUCCUCCCUCUUUCGAUUUCCCAGACAGUGGAUGAAACAUCUCUCAGGCCACAAUCUAAAAGGUAUGGAGCUGUUAGUAGACUUGGCUGAGGAAGUCCCCCUGCAGCAUCACCCUGCCACCAUCAGCGUGCCAUCAGGCGAGUGGGAAGCCCAGGACAUCCCCCAGCUGAGUGUGUGCUUAACAGGACUCGCCUCUGAGGCCCCCACCCCCGAGGUGGCUGCCAGGGGGAGCCUCAUGGGGCAGCCUCGUAACGCAGGGUUAAUGAGGCCCCAGGCCUGUGAAGUGGGUAGCUCCUGCCCACUCAGCUGCGUCAGGUGACGGCAGGUUAAAGAGCACACAUCCCACAGGGCCCAGCCAACGCCAACAAGUGAUCCCUCCAUUCCAGGCUCAUGCUGCUCACCAUACAUCAGAAGCCCUCUCUGAGUGUGACUCCAUCCCUUCUUUGACAGUGCCAGCCAUCAGGGAGCCAUCAUGAGGCAGCCCCUCAGCCUUUCUCUCCCUCUGCUCCCAACAUCACUCAGUCCCCCAGGCUCCUCUGACACAGGCUGCUCUUGACGACUGUUUCUGCCAGGACUUGUGACCUUGAGACCCCUAUACUCUCCCACAGGCUGGUUGCCAGGUCCCUCCCAGGCUCCCAGAGUCAAGGGAAACUUCCAUUCCCCUGACUCCCAGCUUGCAUGUGGGAGGCUGCCUUGCCCGGGACCUUUCUGCUGGAACCCACUGGCUCACCUGGGUCACAGGGAGGGGCUCUGAUGGGGAAGCGAGGGGGGUUCCAGCAUUCUUCUGGCCCAGACCUCUCUCCCCAGCCCCUCAGCCAGCUGGAAUACUUGGCAGGUUGGGCCACAGCCCUCCCCACAGUGUCAGGAGGUUGGUGCCACCACGAUGCCACUUUACAGAGAAAGAAGGAGGCUACACAGCUCCAAGGAAAGCUAAAUUCAGAUCUGCCCCUUCCAAAAGGAAUCCUUCGCCAGGACAGUGGCUCCUGAGGCCUGUUCCCUCAGCCCCACCUCCCAAUCCCUGUUGGAAAUUACUUUGGAGCUGCUUGGGUGAAGAAGGGAGUGUGGAAGGGGAGGGCAGCAAGCUCUGUCUUCUCUAAAGCUAAGAAACAACAUCUCUGGGGUCAACGUGGCAGGAAGGGAAUCUCCCGGAAGAGAAGUCUCUGGUGGCAUCUCCCCCACCCCUGCGCAGGGCAGAAGAGCCAGAUGGGGAGGAGGGCUCCCUGCCCCCCAGCAAUGCGCCCCUGGCCCGGAGGCCUCUGAGUGUGGCCCCCAAGCCUCACAGGCAACAGCUGUGGAGCCCACUGCAGGGCCGGCUGGGUGGUGACACCCUGCACUGUCACCGGGUCCCCGAGCUCAGAAGGGCCCACUCGCCCUGUGAGGCUCUGCCCUUGCUGUCUUCAAAGUCUUAAUAAUUUUUAAACCAGGGCCCCACAUUUUCAUUUUCCAGUGGACCCCACAAAUUAUGCAGCAGGUCCUGGCCACUCAGGAAGCUCAGAGCUGGCAGGGCCCCACCCCUUCCUCACUGUACAGCGAGGAAACCGAGGCUGGGAGAAGAGGCCAGCCGGACUGGAGUCAGGGCGGCCAGUAGCGGCGGUGGGGUCAGAUGUCUGAGGAGCAGGUGCAGCUCAACACCUUCCUCACUCCUGUGUGCCGUCCCCCGGCCGCCUUCUACACCCUGGAGCCCAGAGUUCAGCCUCCGCCCCGGGGUCCCGUUCCCCGCUGGACUCCUCUCCCACAUGGGACAGCAGCACUUCCUGCCGGCUGGAAGGGGGGGGGGGAGGCGGGACUCAGGGCUUCUCCCCUUACCCCUCCGUCCACCUCGCAGCCUCCGCCCCCGGGCUCUCUGCAGAGCGCCUCAGGGAGGGAGGGCGCGUGGACACAUCCCACUCCUGCCUUCACAGUGACCGGGCGGGUCCAGUUCCCCUCCUCCCCCUCCUCCUCCUCCUCCUCCUCCCCCCAGCAUGAGAGCGGCCCUCGGAAAAGCAGAGUCCCGAACAACAUCUGCUUCCGGCUCCCCUUCCUCAGCCCCUCCUUCUAAUCACAAAAGAGUCAAACCAACUUAUGUGCGUCGUG